CUGGAGGUAUCAGAAGUGCGAAUGCUGACAUAAGUAACGAUAAAGCGGGUGAAAAGCCCGCUCGCCGGAAGACCAAGGGUUCCUGUCCAACGUUAAUCGGGGCAGGGUGAGUCGACCCCUAAGGCGAGGCCGAAAGGCGUAGUCGAUGGGAAACAGGUUAAUAUUCCUGUACUUGGUGUUACUGCGAAGGGGGGACGGAGAAGGCUAUGUUGGCCGGGCGACGGUUGUCCCGGUUUAAGCGUGUAGGCUGGUUUUCCAGGCAAAUCCGGAAAAUCAAGGCUGAGGCGUGAUGACGAGGCACUACGGUGCUGAAGCAACAAAUGCCCUG
rnacentral:rRNA from 1 species